GCAGUAGGGAUCUUCCGCAUGGACGAAAGUCUGACGGAGCGACGCCGCGUGAAUGAUGAAGAUCUUCGGAUCGUAAAAUUCUGUUGUUAGGGAUGAACAAGUGUGAGGGUAACUACUCACACCUUGACAGUACUUAACCAGAAAGCCCCGGCUAACUACGUGCCAGCAGCCGCGGUAAUACGUAGGGGGCGAGCGUUGUCCGGAAUUAUUGGGCGUAAAGGGUACGCAGGCGGUUCUUUAAGUCUGAUGUGAAAUCUCACAGCUUAACUGUGAGCGGUCAUUGGAAACUGAGGAACUUGAGUAUAGAAGAGAAGAGUGGAAUUCCAAGUGUAGCGGUGAAAUGCGUAGAUAUUUGGAGGAACACCAGUGGCGAAGGCGACUCUUUGGUCUAUUACUGACGCUGAGGUACGAAAGCAUGGGUAGCAAACAGGAUUAGAUACCCUGGUAGUCCAUGCCAUAAACGAUGAGUGCUAGGUGUUAAGGGGUUUCCGCCCCUUAGUGCUGUAAGUUAACGCGUUAAGCACUCCGCCUGGGGAGUACGGCCGCAAGGCUCAAACUCAAAAGAAUUGACGGGGCGUAG
rnacentral:rRNA from 1 species